rnacentral:tRNA from 1 species
GGAUCCAUAAUUCAGUAGUAGAGCCUCUGUUUGGCAUACAGAAGGUCCUGGGUUCAAUCCCUAACAUCUCCA